CCCUGCUCAUCACGGGAUGGGCCGCCCCGUUCCCCUACUCCUUCCCUGAGAAAAUCUUCCUCCUCAUCUUCGUGGCGGCGGCGCGAGAUCGAGUUCGUCACCCAUGGCUGGCCUACCUAUGGGAUUGUAGCAGCGGCGAGAUCCCUUCCCCGUUCGUUCGUAUCCACGCCCUGCCACUGCUUGAUAGCCUCCGCGCCUCUAGACCCUCGCCCCCUCCAUGCUUCUAGAAAUCGGUGCUUGGAUCUGCGCUGCCGUCGGGGCGAUUUGGUGGCCAACUGCACGAGUCAGCGACGCGGCUCCGCGGCAGAGGACGUCGAGGCCGUAUUUGUCGGCUGCCGGCGUGUUCGGAACCGCUUCCAAACUCGCGGGGUCCAAACCGGCUCGACCUGGACAGCAGGGAAAGCUUUGCUGCUACGGCCCCCUCCAAGCUGAUGGUCUAAUCGGUGUUCCUGUUCAGGUCCAGCCAGCAAAGCCUCAUCCAUGCCACGCACACAGGUCGGCGAGACCGGUCGAUCCAUGCUCGGGCUCUCGGAGAUCCCCGGCCGCACCGAUGCGACCUGGCUCCUCUUGUUUUCAGCUUCCUCACGCUCAGACGGAGAGUGUUCGGUUUGGGCUUCCUUCUGUCUGCAAGAUGGCUGAAUGAUCAUAAAAAAUUUCUACUUCUGCCUGCCUUCUAUGCUAGAAACAACAAGCUUAUAGGCUCAACUCGGCCUAUCAUCACUUCUCCAUUUUGGCAAGUGUCAGAUUCUUUCGGACGAUGGUCAUAAGAGUUUUCGGAUGAUGUCAGGUUGCUUUUACAUAUCGCCUUUUUUUUUCUGUUUGCAAACAGUAGGUCAGUGAUGAACACUUCUGCAUCUCGCGUUUUUAGUUAAACAAUAAUAUACAAGUUAUAUGUACCGA